AUGUAACCGGUGGUUAUCCUGAACUUUUAUUUUGACGGGGUAACGACACUCCCCUUUCCUUCAGGUGUGUAGCAUAAAUCAUUGCGGUGGUAGCUAGUUAGCAAAGACGCCGUGUUUUUGAUGCUGUCGAGUGUAGCGUGGGCACACCGCUCUCUCUGUCCCUCUGUUUGUGGUUGAGCCACCGUACAGGAAAGCCCUGUCCAUCGGCGGCUGGCGUGGGGUCGGCUGCUGUUCUGGGAUGGUGUGCUGAGCUGGGCAAACUCAAGUGUCGCUGGUGAUGUUCUUCCACUUUGUGUCCUGUGUGGUUGACUGCUUGCAUGCCGCUUCGAGAGAACCAGAGGUAAUGCCGGCAUUUUCUGUAGGAGUUUCGACGCUUAGCACUUGACUUGUGUAGGGAGUUGUGUGGGGUGGGAGUGGGGGUGCUCCGCAGGUGUGAUGGCGGGACUGGCAGCGUGGUGCCUUUGAUAUCGCGCUGUGGUGUCGUGGUUGCACCUGUGGGAGCGCCCACAUUUCCACAAUACACAACUCCUGUUGAAUCGAGUUAUAAAUGCCGUUCCUAAUGGUAACUUUCUCGUUAAAUGUACAUAGGAGGAGUUGGUGCCUUCGACUACACUGAUGCAGUGUCACUAGAGAAGGGGGGCAUCACUGUUCUUUUCCCAACCUUUGUUUUGUUUUGUUCUAUUGUGUGAGUGAGUCAUCCUGUGCAACCCUUUCACUUUGACGUUCGAGACGAAGGGGCUUGUGUAAGUUUCACUCUAACAUCCGAGACGAAGGGGCUCGUGUAAGUUUCUACUUAGUAACAUCCAAGACGAAGGGGCUUGUGUAACGUGAUUCAUGUAUGACAUUUAGUGUAUUUCUUGGGCUAGUGCAAUUAUUAUCAGUGCAGUCCCUGGCAGCAUCGCCAAUGACCUUUGGAACAGUUUUUUGGUUGCUGUAGUGGGAGACCAAACGUAGCAUUAUCUAACUAACAAGUGUGUGGCCAAUUCAGACUUUGCCUACGGGCAGUUUUGUGUGUUUUUGUUUUAUUUCUUUACUAACAGUGUUUGCAGUGCAUUGUCUGCUGUUUGGUCCCCUUCUCAUGCAAUUGCAUAAUUUGCACAUUAUUGUCACUAUUGGUAAUUGCCUCUAAUGCCACUUUUGUAUUGCACUGGUUCAGAAUUAUAUGAAAUCCAAGACUGAGCCUGUGAAGCAGAUAUUUUGAGUACAGACAUUUGAAA